GGCGAGGAAUUACGACGGCGUGAGCGCGAGGUAGAGUGAGGGGGCAGGGGGGAAAUGACGAGGAGAGUGUCCUUUAUAUAGGGACGCGAGAGGGUCUUUAAGACGGCGCCCAAAAUCGUGUCUUCAAGGCGGGGUGUAAUGGCGGGCGGGCGAUAGAUUCGCGGCCGGAGGUAGGAGAAGGCUGACAGGUAGGCCCCACCUGACAGCGAUCGUUGGCUAUGGGAGGCGGCUGGCUGGCUGGGCUGGCGGGGCCAGUUCGCUGCGCGGCUGGGCCGCCGCGUGUGCGCGCGCAGGCGAGCACGCGGACUGGGCCGGUUCGACCCAUUCGGCCCGGCCGGGCCGUCUUUCCUUUUUUUUUGUUCUUUUCUUUUCUCCUUUUCUUUUUCUGUUUUUCCUUUAUAACCUUUGAUUUUGAACUCCAAAUCAACUCAAAUAAAUUCUAGAAAAAUCAUAGAAUCAUAUCCUAAUAUGAUUUAACUCUUGGGACUAAAUUCCUUUCAAAAUAAAAUACUUGAAAAUACUUUUGUCUAUAUAAUUGCCUCUAAUGCAAUGUUAUUUAAAAACAUAAUAGUUUUUCAACUCCAAUUUAAAUUCCAAAAAAUUAUGGGGUAGAUUAUCUUAUUGCAAUAAACCCCUUUCUAUUCAAAAACCCCAUGGGUUGGAAAAUUCCAAAAAGAUGCAAAGUAAGAUUAAAAGGUAAAAGGCUUAAUAAAAGGUUUUAAAAUCUAAAUCCUUGGUUUAAAGGUGCUCAAAAUGCAUAAAUGGCAUUAUGCUCAUGAGUGCAAAUGCAUGAUGUAAAGUUUGGAAAAAUUGGGAUGUUACACUCCCUCUCCUCCCUCGCGCA
rnacentral:lncRNA from 1 species